UGAGGGAAAGGCGAAAAGAACCCCGGCGAGGGGAGUGAAAAAGAACCUGAAACCGUGUACGUACAAGCAGUGGGAGCCCCACCACCAAAGCAUUCUCUGGUGUUGAAGGCCCUGCAAAGCAGCAUCGCGGUGGCGGAGCGUCGUUUGCGACGCCCAACACACAAAACAAGCGGUGAGUGCUUUGGGGUGGGGUGACUGCGUACCUUUUGUAUAAUGGGUCAGCGACUUAUAUUCUGUAGCAAGGUUAACCGAAUAGGGGAGCCGGAGGGAAACCGAGUCUUAAUUGGGCGUUAAGUUGCAGGGUAUAGACCCGAAACCCGGUGAUCUAGCCAUGGGCAGGUUGAAGGUUGGGUAACACUAACUGGAGGACCGAACCGACUAAUGUUGAAAAAUUAGCGGAUGACCUGUGGCUGGGGGUGAAAGGCCAAUCAAACCGGGAGAUAGCUGGUUCUCCCCGAAAGCUAUUUAGGUAGCGCCUCGUGAAUUCAUCUCCGGGGGUAGAGCACUGUUUCGGCUAGGGGGCCAUCCCGGCUUACCAACCCGAUGCAAACUGCGAAUACCGGAGAAUGUUAUCACGGGAGACACACGGCGGGUGCUAACGUCCGUCGUGAAGAGGGAAACAACCCAGACCGCCAGCUAAGGUCCCAAAGUCAUGGUUAAGUGGGAAACGAUGUGGGAAGGCCCAGACAGCCAGGAUGUUGGCUUAGAAGCAGCCAUCAUUUAAAGAAAGCGUAAUAGCUCACUGGUCGAGUCGGCCUGCGCGGAAGAUGUAACGGGGCUAAACCAUGCACCGAAGCUGCGGCAGCGA
rnacentral:rRNA from 1 species